CUUUAUCAGUAUGGAUAUCCCAUAUACGUUGAUGUUGGGAGAUACCUUGAUAAUGUAGAUCCUUGGUCAAACAGUCUCAGGAUAUGGUCUGCAUGUUAGCACUGAGUCAUCCCCGGGGAUCCAGAAGAAUUCAUUUGGAGAAGAAAGCAGAAGAAGCUGCCCUGAGCCACCGCAAGUGAUCAAUCACAAUUACACUAGCAAGGAUGAACACUUAAGAGCCUGGUGCAAACCCCUGUGCUGCUGAAUGCUUCGACGAUGGUAUGCAAGAAAACAGGAAGUUUCAGGAGUCAGUCCUCCUGAGAUGGAGCCCCCAGCACAAGAAAUAAGUGGUCCUGUUGGAGAGAGUCUGGAGGAGGCCAUGAGGAUGCUCAGAAAGCUUAAGCACCUCUUCUUUGAAGGCUGAGGGAGCUGGACUUGUUCAGGUUGGGGAAGAGAAGUCUCUGUGGACACCUCAUUGUGGCCUUUCAGUGCUGAAAGAGAGCUUACAAGAAAGAUGGAGAGC
rnacentral:lncRNA from 1 species